GAUGAAGAACGCAGCGAAAUGCGAUAAGUAAUGUGAAUUGCAGAAUUCAGUGAAUCAUCGAAUCUUUGAACGCACAUUGCGCCCCCUGGUAUUCCGGGGGGCAUGCCUGUUCGAGCGUCAUUUCACCACUCAAGCCUCGCUUGGUAUUGGGCAACGCGGUCCGCCGCGUGCCUCAGAUCGACCGGCUGGGUCUUCUGUCCCCUAAGCGUUGUGGAAACUAUUCGCUAAAGGGUGUUCGGGAGGCUACGCCGUAAAACAACCCCAUUUCUAAGGUUGACCUCGGAUCAGGUAGGGAUACCCGCUGAACUUAAGCAUAUCAAUAAGCGGAGGA
rnacentral:misc_RNA from 1 species